AUUCAUAUAAUUUAAUUAAAAUUUUACAUUUUCAUUGUAAACAUAAAAUAUACCUAUUUUUAUGAUUA
rnacentral:tRNA from 1 species